UUCUAUCUCAUAGAUCUGAUUUAUUCUCUAUGAAAUACGUGUUAUGUGGAUGUGCCUCAUCUGUUAUGUGGAAUAGGUAUUGAAUGAGAAUGUUAUACAGGUUUUAAACUAUGUAUAAAAAUAUAUAUUUUUAUCUACUAAUAUGUUGUGUAGAACAUGGGUAGAUAGUUGAUGUGUGAUAAACAGAUGAGAGGCACUGAUGUUGUUGUUGAUCUAGUUAUUCAGCGAGUAUGGAUUAGACCAAGAGGUUAAUUUUAGAUCUGGGAGUAUGGAUCAGGUAAAGAGAUAAAAACUUGUUAUUAGUCCGGGAGUAUGGAUUAAGACUAAGUUAAUUGUCCCUAGUCCGGGAGUAUGGAUUGGGCACAGUUAUUGAUCUGGGAGUAUGGAUCAGAUCAGGAUUAGGGUAUAGUUAAUUGUCCCAAGUUCGGAAGUAUGGAUUGGACACAAUUAUUGAUCCGGGAGUAUGGAUCAGAUCAGGAGGUUAGUUUUAGAUUCGUGAGUAUGGAUCAGGUAGUUUUAGAUCCGUGAGUAUGGAUCAGGUUAAAAAAGUUAGUUUUAGAUCCGUGAGUAUGGAUCGGUGAAGAGGAUAGUUUUAGAUCCGUGAAUAGGAAUCAGGUAAAGAGGAAAAUUUUAGAUACGAGAGUUUAGAUCGUGUCGUUGUGAGGAUCGAUGGGGUGGGAUAAGAGUUGCCUUUAUAUGGUGAAAUUGUACAAGUUUGAAUGUUCUAUAUUUAUAAAUAUAUGAUAUAACAUUGUGGGAUGAAAACCAUAUAUGCCUACCAGGCUCCCAAGCCUGACCCACUCAGUUUUCUUUGUAUCACAGGUAUCGAUACGAAGACAUAUUUCACAGAGAGAUUUAAAGGAGAUAUAAAUCAUUAGUGUAAUUGAAUGUCAGUUCUGUUUAGGCUUAUAUGUCUGUAUCGGAACAUGACAUCCCGAGGUUUUAUUAUUAAAUGAAAAUACAUUCUCUUUGAGAAAUGUUUUGAUAAGUUNUUAUUUUGGGAACAAAUUCCGCAACCGUUUUCUUUAAACGAUCACUCUGAUUUAUAAAACAAAGCAUAAACAAAUCGGUCUUUUCUGGCCGUGAAAAUGGGGAUGUCACAGUUGGUAUCAAAGCAUUAGUUUAAGCGAACUAGGAAUUUGUAGGAAAUUUCUAGACUUAAACUUAGAAUGCUAAGUAAUGAUUGUGAGCAGUGUGUCUAAAAUAUGUUAGGUAGUACACCUAAAUUGACACAAGCACUAGUUUAUUUUAGGAAUAAUGCCUAAAAUGCUUUUAUGUGCUAAAUGUUUUGUGUGAUAGCUAUAUUGGUGCUAUUAUUUGUUCGGAUCUAUGGUCUGUUGCCGACCGGAUCUGGAAACCUUAUGUGUUUAGGAUUCUAAGCGUAUGUCUACGAUAUUAGAACUAGCAUGUAAACGUUUCGGAGUGAUAAGGAUGAUUUGAAUAUCUAUCGUGAGUAAGGAUCUAAUUUUACCUUAUUCGGUGUAUAGAUCAAAAACGGUGAGAACAAGAAGUGGAGUUGGAAAUGCUGAUGAAAACAGGAAUCAACCACCCGUGAUUGAGCAAAUACCUGUCAUAGCAGCAGCACCUAAGCCCAUAACAACGACUGAUGUACAAUUGAUGAUUCAGACGAUGUUGGAUUGUCAAAUGGAUGAAACGAGAUGUCUGCUUCAACAGAAUCGUGAAGAAUUGUUAAUUCAAGUGGAAGAGCCUGAAGUGAAUGAAGGGCACUCGGAAGGUGGAAACUUUAGUGGAUCUGUUGGUCAAGCCAACCCACCGAUAGUUAGGCAAAACAACCAGAAUGGAAGGAAUGAUGGAAUGGGAUGCAAGUAUAAGGAUUUUCUGAUUUGCAAACCAUCGACCCUCACUGGAAAAGAAGAUCCGAUCGGAGUUAUGGAUUGGAUAUUGGAAAUGGAGCUAGCCUUCAUGACUUGUAGCUGCAGAGGUAAGUUGCAGACUAUCUAUGCAGUGCGUCAGUUCCGAGGUGGAGCCGUUCGAUGGUGGAACACUCUAGGGAAGAUCCUAAGCCAUAACGAGCCACUGCAACUGUCUUGGGCAGAGUUCUUGGUGCAAUUCAAGCGCAAGUUCUGCUCGGCCCAAAACCUGCUAGAGUUGGAGAAUAAAUUUCUGAUAUUGAAGAAAGGCAGCAUGUCAGUGGAUGAAUACACUAAUGCCUUCACAGACAAGAUGGAGUUUUCUUUGCACAGCGUCCCAGACGAACUGACAAAAGUCAACCGGUACACAAAGGGACUCCCUUAGGACUAUGCGGUGCCAGUGCGUCAGGCACCUACUCUAGAGGUAACUAUUUGGGCUGCCAAGUCUGUUGAGAAUAUGAUCAAGGGGAGGACUGACAGUAAGGUUGAAGUUGGCGAGAAGAGAAAGUUAGAAGGAACUUCAGGUUCUAAUGAGAAAAGAAAAGUUUCGAAGUCUGAUUCGAAGAAGCUCGAAGAAGGAGCAUAAUGGUGUGACAAGUGCAAAAGGAAGCACAUUGGGGAAUGCUCUAAAGAAAUGACCUACUUCAAAUGUGGGAAGACUGUUCAUUACGCCAGCAAAUGCCCAAACAAAAGAGAAGCAUGCUUUAAGUGUGGUGAAGAAGGACACUUCAAGCAAAACUGCCCAAGAAGAGAAGAGGCUAUAAAGCCAAAUGCACCACCAAAGCCAAGAGCAUUCCACAUGAUCCUCGACGAAGCAGAAAACAAUGCGACAAUUCAAGGAUGAAGACUUCAUGUCAAUAUAUAAAGUCUGUAUCAGGAAGUGUAGCCUACUAGAGGCGUAGUAUAGGGUGAACCUGAACUUUUGUGUAAUCGUUUCAAGGAAUUAAUAUAAACCCUAGUUUUGCUAACUGAUGUGUUGAAUGAUUGUCUGAUUUUCUUGUAUGGUGACUUGGUCGACUGCGGGACAAUACUUGGGACGAGUAUGAGUAGGUGUGAAAGGUAGUAGAUGCAUAUACUACCGGAAGCACAGGACUCGCACUUGGAUCAGGGAAAGUCACAAGGUUACCAAGAAGCUAGUGAUUGAUUCCAUUUUAUUCUGGUAUGUCAUUACCAUUGUUUCGGUAAUGACUAGUAAGAUGGUUCUUGUUCCGACCCUAGUGGUCAUGUUUAAAUUUGAGUUCGACUACGAGGAGUAUGUUACGUGGUCUAGAGGACCAAGUUAGAUGUAACAUCUGACUUAAGUCAGAAGGUUGAAGUUAAUGCGAUUGAUAGUGUCGCGCUUGUUGUUAAAAGAAGUUUGCAGGUAGAAAUGCUACAUGCUGAAAUGUGAUUAUAUCACAUUAGAAUAUGAAGAAAGGUAUAUUCCAUCCUAAAUUUAACUUCAUUAAAGACCGAGUCUAAGCGCCGCAUCGUGCGAUGAGAGGUCAAUAGAGCACGACCCAUCGAUUUGUUACAAUAGAUAAAUGAAAGUAAUUAUCCUGAGAAGAAGAAGGAGUCCACAAUAAGGACUUAUUUGGUAACUUGAAGGUUACGAUUGAAAGUACAACAUAGUACGAUAAGAAGAUGCAAGAUUGGGCAUCUUCUACGGUCAAGAAAGCCAUAGAGUUAAAUACCCUUUCGAGGAAACAUAGAAGUUACGGUUAUUACCUAGGAUGAAUAAAUAACGUGUGGAAUCAUUAUGCAAGUCCUAUUUCGUUGAUGAUUCCGGGACGUAAUUAUCCUAAGGGGGAGAUAAUUGUCACGCCCGUAGAUCCGGGCUAGUCAAUUUAGAGACGAUAGGCGUUAGAAAAGGAUUUUUGAUGAAAGAUUAUUUAUAAUGAAUGAUCUUAACUAAUUUAUAGUAUAUGUUACAAGGUUUGUGCAUAUAANUUUCCGUGCAUAUAAAGAACGCCGAAAUCCAAGUUAUAACGAAGAAGUUAUGACCUGUCGAAGUUUCGCGGCAGAACCGGCACGACGCUGAAUGACGUAAAAAGUGAAUUUACGUUAGAGUGAUAUUUAGCCGUAGCAAUCUAAAAAAAAAGUCGUAGAUUUCGUUAAACCAUGAGCGUGCAUAAAAAGAACGUUCAAAUCUGACUUCGUAUGAGGAAGUUAUGAUUUUUCUAAGUUUUGACUUAGCGGUAUGCAGCCCGAAUACUCGAUUUGAGAUCGAGCGGUUUUUAGCCGAAACAAUCUAAAUGAGAAUCGAAGAUCUCGUUAAUUGUAAUGAAACGAUGAAAAGAUAGGCGAAAACGGACGUCGGAUAAAGAAGUUAUGAUUUUAUAAUGGAGUUUUCCUAUCCCGGCCUACUAAAAAUAAAUAAUAAAAAUAAAGUCAAAAUUAGCCGACGGAGUCUAAAUGAAAGUUGUAGAGCGUAGUCUCACCUACGCGGGGAUAUAAAGAACGUCGAAAACGAAGUUCGUAUGAGGAAUAUAUAAAAUUUUGAAGUUUAUUUAAUAAUUUCGGUAUUUAAAAUUAAUUAAAAAUAUCUGAUAUUAUCCAGGGGGGGUCAGCGUUAUUAUCCCCAUUAUGGGCAGCGUAAUUUAGAAUUACGCCCAACGUAAUUCGUGUUUCAGCCCCCUAUAAAAGGGUGUCGAGGGCAACCGACUUCUUUGCUCAUUUCUUCCAUUUUCUCGUAUUUUUGCAUCGUUUUUCAUGAAAGAAAUAUCCCGAAGCCCCAAUAUCAUUCCCGAGCCCCGAAACAAGUCCCAAGGCCCCGAAGAUCCCGAGAAGUGCGAUUCCCAAGCCGAAGCUCUGCCCGCGAGGAGCCCGGUUUUUGUGAAGAUCUACCAAAUCUACCGAAGAAUACUACUUCUACAAGUCGUAGUGCUGUCCAAUCAUCUUCUAAUCAAGUGAGUGUGUGGUUACUUUCUUCUAACGCAUAAUUAUGAAGUAUUUUAUAUGAAAUACGUGUUAUGUGUAUAAUUUUCUUGUUAUGUGUGUGAAUGUAUAUUCACGUUCUUCUAUCUCAUAGAUCUGAUUUAUUCUCUAUGAAAUACGUGUUAUGUGGGUGUGCCUCAUUUGUUAUGUGGAAUAGGUAUUGAAUGAGAAUGUUAUAUAGGUUUUAAACUAUGUUUAAAAAUAUAUAUUUUUAUCUACUAAUAUGUUGGGUAGAACAUGGGUAGAUAGUUGAUGUGUGAUAAACAGAUGAGAGGCCCCGAUGUUGUUGUUGUUGAUCUAGUUAUUCAGCGAGUAUGGAUUAGACCAAGAGGUUAAUUUUAGAUCCGGGAGUAUGGAUCAGGUAAAGAGAUAAAAACUUGUUAUUAGUCCGGGAGUAUGGAUUAAGACUAAGUUAAUUGUCCCUAGUCCGGGAGUAUGGAUUGGGCACAGUUAUUGAUCCGGGAGUAUGGAUCAGAUCAGGAUUAGGGUAUAGUUAAUUGUCCCUAUUCCGGGAGUAUGGAUUGGGUACAAUUAUUGAUCCGGGAGUAUGGAUCAGAUCAGGAGGUUAGUUUUAGAUCCGUGAGUAUGGAUCAGGUAGUUUUAGAUCCGUGAGUAUGGAUCAGGUGAAAAAGGUUAGUUUUAGAUCCAUGAGUAUGGAUCGGUGAAGAGGAUAGUUUUAGAUCUGUGAGUAGGGAUAAGGUAAAGAGGAAAAUUUUAGAUACGAGAGUUUAGAUCGUGUUGUUAUGAGGAUCGAUGGGGUGGGAUAAGAGUUGCCUUUAUAUGUUUAAAUUGUACA
rnacentral:lncRNA from 1 species